GUGAGGAAUUUUCCGCAAUGGGCGAAAGCCUGACGGAGCAAUGCCGCGUGAAGGAUGAAGGCCUAUGGGUUGUAAACUUCUUUUCUCAGAAAAGAAUUAUGACGGUAUCUGAGGAAUAAGCAUCGGCUAACUCUGUGCCAGCAGCCGCGGUAAGACAGAGGAUGCAAGCGUUUUCCGGAAUGAUUUGGCGUAAAUCGUCUGUAGGUUGGUUAAAAAGUAUUAUGUCAAAGAUUAGUGAUUAACCAUAGAUAGGCAGAAUAAACUAUUAAGCUAAAGUUUGGUGGAAGCAGAGGGAAUUCCCGGUGGAGAGGUGAAAUGCGUAGAAAUCGUGAGGAACACCAAAAGCGAAGGCACUCUGCUGGGCCAAUACUAACACUGAGAGACGAAAGCGAGGGGAGCAAAUGGGAUUAGAAACCCCGAUAGUCC
rnacentral:rRNA from 1 species